rnacentral:rRNA from 1 species
AGAGCGAACGCUGGCGGCAGGCCUAACACAUGCAAGUCGAGCGCCCGUAGCAAUACGGGAGCGGCAGACGGGAGAGUAACACGUGGGAACGCGCCCUUCGGUUCGGAAUAACUCAGGGAAACUUGAGCUAAUACCGGAUACGCCCUUACGGGGAAAGAUUUAUUGCCGAAGGAACGGCCCGCGUCCGAUUAGCUAGUUGGUGAGGUAAUGGCUCACCAAGGCGACGAUCGGUAGCUGGUCUGAGAGGAUGACCAGCCUCACUGGGACUGAGACACGGCCCAGACUCCUACGGGAGGCAGCAGUGGGGAAUAUUGGACAAUGGGCGCAAGCCUGAUCCAGCCAUGCCGCGUGGAUGAUGAAGGCCCUAGGGUUGUAAAGUCCUUUCGGCGGGGAAGAUAAUGACGGUACCCGCAGAAGAAGCCCCGGCUAACUUCGUGCCAGCAGCCGC